rnacentral:rRNA from 1 species
GAUGAACGCUGGCGGCGUGCCUAAUACAUGCAAGUCGAGCGAACGGACGAGAAGCUUGCUUCUCUGAUGUUAGCGGCGGACGGGUGAGUAACACGUGGAUAACCUACCUAUAAGACUGGGAUAACUUCGGGAAACCGUAGCUAAUACCGGAUAAUAUUUUGAACCGCAUGGUUCAAAAGUGAAAGACGGUCUUGCUGUCACUUAUAGAUGGAUCCGCGCUGCAUUAGCUAGUUGGUAAGGUAACGGCUUACCAAGGCAACGAUGCAUAGCCGACCUGAGAGGGAGAGGGGGCACCAUGGAAGCGAGUCCCGGGCCCGACGCCUACGGGAGGCAGCAGGAGGGAAUCUUCGACAAUGGUCGAAAGCCUGAAGUAGUCAGGCCGCGUGAAAGAUGAAGGGCUUCGGAUCGUACAACUCUGUUAUUAGUGAAGAACAUAAGGGUAAGGAACUGUGCACUUCUUGACGGUACCUAAUCAGAAAGCAACGGCUAACUACGUG